rnacentral:rRNA from 1 species
AUACGGAGGAUGCGAGCGUUAUCCGGAUUUAUUGGGUUUAAAGGGAGCGUAGGUGGGAUAUUAAGUCAGCUGUGAAAGUUUGGGGCUCAACCUUAAAAUUGCAGUUGAUACUGGUUUCCUUGAGUACGGUACAGGUGGGCGGAAUUCGUGGUGUAGCGGUGAAAUGCUUAGAUAUCACGAAGAACUCCGAUCGCGAAGGCAGCUCACCGGGCCGGAACUGACACUGAUGCUCGAAAGUGCGGGUAUCAAACAGGAUUAGAUACCCUGGUAGUCCGCACAGUAAACGAUGAAUACUCGCUGUUUGCGAUACACUGUAAGCGGCCAAGCGAAAGCGUUAAGUAUUCCACCUGGGGAGUACGUCGGCAACGGUGAAACUCAAAUGAAUUGGCGGGG